AGGCGACCACGCUACCGGUUUCCUACGUCGAGCAGUAGCUCGGCACGUCGCCCAGGAUCGGCCGGACGCGCCCUCACGCGCCACCACAGGCAGCUGUGCCUGGCCCACGCGCCGCCGGUCAACCACCAUAUCUCUAAGUGGCCGAACAAUUAAGCAAACCGAAGUAGAGUAAAAUUUUCUAAUUAUGCUUUCUUCCUCCACGCUGCAAAUCGCUUCAAGAUAUUUGGGGAGCUUCAAGUACGCCUCAAGACGCUUCUAAAAAGCCUGUCUUUGUCGCCGGAGGUGGCCGGAAUUCGGGUCAACGGUCACCUGCUACAGUAAACUUCAAGGACCCGAUACGUCGUUUUCCGGCCAAGCCGCCGUGAGCCACCACCGUAGGGGCCAAGAGGAGGUCAAGACAAGUCCGUAGCCACCGAUUUGACGC
rnacentral:lncRNA from 1 species